rnacentral:rRNA from 2 species
CCGCGUGAGUGAUGAAGGUUUUCGGAUCGUAAAGCUCUGUUGUUAGGGAAGAACAAGUGCCGUUCAAAUAGGGCGGCACCUUGACGGUACCUAACCAGAAAGCCACGGCUAACUACGUGCCAGCAGCCGCGGUAAUACGUAGGUGGCAAGCGUUGUCCGGAAUUAUUGGGCGUAAAGGGCUCGCAGGCGGUUUCUUAAGUCUGAUGUGAAAGCCCCCGGCUCAACCGGGGAGGGUCAUUGGAAACUGGGGAACUUGAGUGCAGAAGAGGAGAGUGGAAUUCCACGUGUAGCGGUGAAAUGCGUAGAGAUGUGGAGGAACACCAGUGGCGAAGGCGACUCUCUGGUCUGUAACUGACGCUGAGGAGCGAAAGCGUGGGGAGCGAACAGGAUUAGAUACCCUGGUAGUCCACGCCGUAAACGAUGAGUGCUAAGUGUUAGGGGGUUUCCGCCCCUUAGUGCUGCAGCUAACGCAUUAAGCACUCCGCCUGGGGAGUACGGUCGCAAGACUGAAACUCAAAGGAAUUGACGGGGGCCCGCACAAGCGGUGGAGCAUGUGGUUUAAUUCGAAGCAACGCGAAGAACCUUACCAGGUCUUGACAUCCUCUGACAAUCCUAGAGAUAGGACGUCCCCUUCGGGGGCAGAGUGACAGGUGGUGCAUGGUUGUCGUCAGCUCGUGUCGUGAGAUGUUGGGUUAAGUCCCGCAACGAGCGCAACCCUUGAUCUUAGUUGCCAGCAUUCAGUUGGGCACUCUAAGGUGACUGCCGGUGACAACCGGAGGAAGGUGGGGAUGACGUCAAAUCAUCAUGCCCCUU